AGGCCGAACGGCGUAGCUGAUGGGAAACAGGUUAAUAUUCCUGUACUGAAUGUGACUGCGAAGGGGGGACGGAGAAGGCUAGGCCAUCCGGGCGACGGUCGUCCCGGUUUAAGCGUGUAGGUGGGAGGAGCAGGCAAAUCCGCUCUUCUGUAACACUGAGGCGUGAUGACGAGCUGCUACGGCAGUGAAGUGGUUGAUGCCCGGCUUCCAGGAAAAGCCUCUAAGCAUCAGGUGACAUUGAAUCGUACCCCAAACCGACACAGGUGGUCAGGUAGAGAAUACUCAGGCGCUUGAGAGAACUCGGGUGAAGGAACUAGGCAAAAUGGUGCCGUAACUUCGGGAGAAGGCACGCUGGCGGUAGGUGAGGGGCUUUGCGCCCGGAGCCGAAGCCAGUCGCAGAGACCAGCUGGCUGCAACUGUUUAUUAAAAACACAGCACUGUGCAAACACGUAAGUGGACGUAUACGGUGUGACGCCUGCCCGGUGCUGGAAGGUUAAUUGAUGGGGUUAGCCGCAAGGCGACGCUCUUGAUCGAAGCCCCAGUAAACGGCGGCCGUAACUAUAACGGUCCUAAGGUAGCGAAAUUCCUUGUCGGGUAAGUUCCGACCUGCACGAAUGGCGUAAUGAUGGCCAGGCUGUCUCCACCCGAGACUCAGUGAAAUUGAACUCGCUGUGAAGAUGCAGUGUCCCCGCGGCAAGACGGAAAGACCCCGUGAACCUUUACUAUAGCUUGACACUGAACAUGGAGCCUUGAUGUGUAGGAUAGGUGGGAGGCAUGGAAGUGCGGACGCCAGUCUGCAUGGAGCCAUCCUUGAAAUACCACCCUUGAAUGUUCGAUGUUCUCACUUAAGCCCGUCAUCCGGGCUGAGGACAGUGUCUGGCGGGUAGUUUGACUGGGGCGGUCUCCUCCCAAAGCGUAACGGAGGAGCACGAAGGUUGGCUAAUCACGGUCGGACAUCGUGAGGUUAGUGCAAAGGCAUAAGCCAGCUUAACUGCGAGAGUGACGGCUCGAGCAGGUACGAAAGUAGGUCUUAGUGAUCCGGUGGUUCUGAAUGGAAGGGCCAUCGCUCAACGGAUAAAAGGUACUCCGGGGAUAACAGGCUGAUACCGCCCAAGAGUUCAUAUCGACGGCGGUGUUUGGCACCUCGAUGUCGGCUCAUCACAUCCUGGGGCUGAAGUAGGUCCCAAGGGUAUGGC
rnacentral:rRNA from 1 species